rnacentral:rRNA from 1 species
GACGAACGCUGGCGGCGUGCUUAACACAUGCAAGUCGAACGAAGAGCGAUGGAAGCUUGCUUCUAUCAAUCUUAGUGGCGAACGGGUGAGUAACGCGUAAUCAACCUGCCCUUCAGAGGGGGACAACAGUUGGAAACGACUGCUAAAACCGCAUACGAUCUAAUCUCGGCAUCGAGGAUAGAUGAAAGGUGGCCUCUACAUGUAAGCUAUCACUGAAGGAGGGGAUUGCGUCUGAUUAGCUAGUUGGAGGGGUAACGGCCCACCAAGGCGAUGAUCAGUAGCCGGUCUGAGAGGAUGAACGGCCACAUUGGGACUGAGACACGGCCCAGACUCCUACGGGAGGCAGCAGUGGGGAAUCUUCCGCAAUGGACGAAAGGCUGACGGAGCAACGCCGCGUGAGUGAUGACGGCCUUCGGGUUGUAAAGCUCUGUUAAUCGGGACGAAAGGCCUUCUUGCGAAUAGUGAGAAGGAUUGACGGUACCGGAAUAGAAAGCCACGGCUAACUACGUG